rnacentral:tRNA from 2 species
GGCUAUGUAGCUCAGUUGGUUAGUAGCGCGGCACUCAUAAUGCCGAGGUCGGUGGUUCAAAUCCACCCAUAGCCACCA